rnacentral:rRNA from 1 species
GAUGAACGCUGGCGGCGUGCCUAAUACAUGCAAGUCGAGCGAACGGACGAGAAGCUUGCUUCUCUGAUGUUAGCGGCGGACGGGUGAGUAACAAGUGGAUAACCUACCUAUAAGACUGGGAUAACUUCGGGAAACCGUAGCUAAUACCGGAUAAUAUUUUGAACCGCAUGGUUCAAAAGUGAAAGACGGUCUUGCUGUCACUUAUAGAUGGAUCCGCGCUGCAUUAGCUAGUUGGUAAGGUAACGGCUUACCAAGGCAACGAUGCAUAGCCGACCUGAGAGGGGGAUCGGCCACACCGGAACUGAGACACGGUCCAGACGCCUACGGGAGGCAGCAGUAGGGAAUAUUCCGGAAUGGGCGAAAGCCUGACGGAGCAACGCCGCGUGGGGGAUGAAGGUCUUCGGAUCGUAAAACUCUGUUAUUAGGGAAGAACAUAUGUGGAAGUAACUGUGCACAUCUUGACGGUACCUAAUCAGAAAGCCACGGCUAACUACGUG